rnacentral:lncRNA from 1 species
GUCUUUUUAGGGCCGCACCUGCAGCAUAUGGAUGUUCCCAGGCUAGGGUUCCAAUCGGAGUCAUAGCCACCAGCCUACACCACAGCCACAGCAACUCAAGAUCUGAGCCACGUCUGCGACCACAGUUCACGGCAAUGCCAGAUCCUUAACCCUCUGAGCAAGGCCAGGGAUCAGACCCGUGUCCUCAUGGUUGCUAGUCGGGUUCAUUAACUGCUGAACCAUGACGGGAACUCCUUCUCUGUGUGUAUUUGAGCACAUGCCCCUAUGCUGGCCAUUCCUGGAGCUGGUCCCUCCAAAGAUCAUGACACCUUGGGCCCUCCUGAUGGAGACCCCUUGGAAAACUUAUUUCAAGGGAACAGAGAAGGACAGCAUCCUAGACAAGAAGAGGUUGGCUUGGGAUCUCUAAUCCCAGAAUCCUCAGCCUGCCACAGAUGUCUCAGAGGCCCCUGUAGUGCAGAGGGUCUUCCAUACAAACCAGCAUCCUUCAAUGUGCCCUCAGCUUUGGCCUCAAGCCCCUUUAGUCACAUCCUGCCCACUUGCUAACCCAAUGACAAAAGAGAGAAUGUGACCCUGGGUCUCAGGAAAUGACUGGCCUCAAGGCACACAUGUCAUGUUCAGUGUAUAGUUGACACUGUUCUUAUGGGAAAUAAAUUUUUUUUUACAUUCUUAAGUAUUUUAUUCUACUUCUUUUUUCUUUCUUUCUUUCUUUUUUUUUUGGCCACAUCCUUGGCUGGUGGAUGUUCCUGGGCUGGGAAUUGAACCCAAGCCAUAGCAGUGACCUGAGCCAUAGCAGUGACAAUGCCAGAUCAUUAGCCUUCUGAGCCACCAGGGAACUCCUUGUUCCACUUCUUCAUACCACUUUGUUUUAAUAUAAAACAAGGCCGCCUACCACCACUACUGCUCUGAGGCGGGGGGGUUGCCCUUCUACUCUGGGCUACACUCUUGUACCCUACGUGGUUGGCAUACCCCAGGUGGGGAGGCCAGGCCCUGGGGUGUUCCGACCCUUCCUCUGAAAGGUCUGAGGCCUAGUGCCUAGGCCCAUAGAAACCCACAGACUCCAGAAUGGCAUUUCAUCCUUGUCCUUGGGGUGGCGAGACAGAAAGGAACUUGAGUUUCCCCGACAGAUUGAGCUGGGUCAGAGAAGCAGGCGAUCCUGCCACCACUCCUGCAAUCUAGGCUUGUGGCCGAGGUUGGGGAUUGCAAUGUGAUGUUCUUUCCAUAGGUAUGAAUAGGGACAUGGAUUUCUAUGCUCAGGUGGCCGUGACAAGUUGACCAGAGGUGGCAGGUGUGAUGACAUCUAUUUGUCAUGCAACAGUGGCAUUGAUAGCCAAAUGUGCUGGAAGUGUAUGGCCAUCUCUGUCACAUCCUGCUCUCUCUGGAGACACUGUCUUCUCCUUGGUGCAGGUGGAGCUCCCUGUGUUCUAGAAGACCGCAAAUCGACUGGACGUAUCUGUCAUGCCUCCCCCACUUGCCCAGAGCAGAUACGGCUGAUCAAUCCUGACAUUCUUUCCCACGCAGCCAGAAUCCUCAACAAUUGCCUGGAGUGGGCUCACGAAAUGGUGUUUUGUUGGGUGUGUAGACAGUAAGAAGAUGAGGUGUUUUAAGCCACAGGAGUAAGAUGACGGCCCCCUCACCUUUCUGCAUGCCCCUCCUACAAACCAUAGGGACACUGAUAAAAUCUGUCCCUGUGCAGCCCAACAUGUCCCCAGACUUGCUAAAGACAGAAGUGCAAGCAAGCUCUUUGUUGUGACCUCCAGGUUGUCCCGAUGCAGUGUUGCCAGUGGGCCUCGGGAGCUCACCUGUGCCCACCUGGGGCUGCCUACAUUGAAUCAGGUGGAACUUGUACAACCAGGUCAUCCGUAUUAAUCUCUUGGGGUAUCGAAACAAAGUAUUACAAGCUGAGUGGGUUAAACACAGAAACUUAUUUUCACACAGUUCUGGAGGCAAAAGUCAGAUCAAGGUGUCAGCAGGGUUGGUUUCCUCGGAGGCAUCGCUCCUUGGCAUGUAGACGGCUGCCUUCUCCCUGUGUGCUCACGUGGUCUUCCCUCUAAUUGCGCUUGUGUCCUAAUCUCCUCUUUUAUUUAUUUAUUUUUUUUGUUGUUGUUCUUUGUUUUUGCUUUUUAGGGCUACACCCUCGGAAUAUGAAGGUUCCCAGGCUAGGGGUCCAGUCAGAGCUGUAGCUGCCAGUCUAUGCCAGAGCCACAGCAAUGCCAGAUCCAAGCAGCAUCUGCAACCUACAACACAGCCUAUGGCAAUGCCAGAUCCUUAACCCACUUAACCCAUCAGGGAUCAAACCUGCAUCCUCAGGGAUGCUAGUCAGAUUCCUUAACCACUGAGCCACAAGGGAACUCCCUAAUCUCCUCUUCUUACAAGAACUCUAGCCAUGUUGGGUUAGGGCCACCCUUUGACUUCCUUUUACCUUGGUUACCUCUUAAAAGGCCCAAUCUCCAAAUAUGGGCAUAUUCGAGGUACUGGGAGUUAGGUCCUGAACAUAUGAAUUGUGGGGAGCGGGAGACACAAUGAAGUCUGUAGCAACAACUGCAGGAAUGAGACUUGAACUUGGCCUGUUUGAGGGGGUAUGGUCCUCCUUUGCAAUGAGGCCUCAUGCAAAGGAACAGCCAUGAGCACCAGGUCCCUGAAAUGGAUGGUACUGCCAUCCACUUGCUAGGAUGGAUGGACCUGCCAUGCAAACUUCCAUCAGUAGUACAGCUGUUCAGGAGUUCCCAUCAUGGCUCAGCACUGACUAGUAUCCAUGGACGCAGGUUUGAUCCCUGGCCUUGCUCAGUGGGUUAAGGAUCCAGUGUUGCCAUGAGCUGUGGUGUAGAUCACAGAUGCCGCUGGAUCUGUGGCUGUGGUGUAGGUUGGCAGCUGCAGCUCCAAUUUGACCCCUAGCCUGGGAACCUCCAUAUGCCACGGAUGCAGCCCUAAAAAGCAAAAAAAAAUGAAAGGGGGGGGAGGGCUACCUCUGUGGGACUGUGGCCAGGAUGCUGGAAGGAUGGUAAAGAAAGGUGACCCAGUUAUCAAUACCUUGGCUCGUUAGACUCACAAAUUAGGGGAUCUUAGAGAUAUUCUCCCCGUGGGGACCAGGGGAGGGGGGACAUGAGAGCCUCUGGGUUGUCCAAUCCCCCUUUCUUGGCUCUAACUCUUAACUCUACCGCUUAUGGCUGUGUGACUGCUGAUAAAUCACUCCAACACUCUGAGCUCCAGUUUUCCCAUGGGUAAAGUGGAGGUGGGAAGGCUGACCCCCGAAGCUUUAGGAGGAUCUUACAGAAGCAAACAUGGGAAAUUAACUAGUGCCAUGCUUAUUUCACACCAGGCCUACAGCGAUGUGUGAGGGAUCUGAAUCUGAUUCUAGAAGCAUACCUUAUGUUGCAAGAAUGAAACAGAGAAAUUCCCAAAGCAUCAUCUGGGAGGCUCACAGUAAUAUUGAGAUUCAAAGGCCCAACCCUGAACUCCUGAGCCAGCACUUCCUGGCACAGAGCUGGCAAUGCACUUUUUUUUUUUUUUUAAGCUUUUUAGGGCCGCAACUGCAGCAUAUGGGAGUUCCCAGGCUAGGGAUCGAAUUGGAGUGGUAGCCACUGGCCUACACCACAGCCACAGCAAUGCCAGACAGAUCCGAGCCACAUCUUUGACCUACACCACAGCUCAUGGCAACGCUGGAUCCUUAACCUACUGAGCAAGGCCAGGGAUCAAACCCGCAUCCUCAUGGAUACUAGCCAGUUUCGUUUCCACUGCGCCACAACAGGAACCUCCCAGUGCACAUUUCAACAAGCCCUGAGAGAUGGCUGGUACACUCAACUAAAGUUUGAGAAUCACAGACCCGACUUGGGGAAAUGAGCAUCAUUGGCGCCCUUGCAAACUGUGGACUCAUCCAAGUCCACAGCUCCUUCUGUCUGGACAGGAACACAAAUGCCCUCAUUCUCCUUCUAGACCUGGAGAGACACACCGUCACUCCCACAGCGGGCUUCACUCAAGGGUGUCUUGUAAUUUCCUGGUUUCCACAAAAGUCACGAUGCAGGCAGCUGUCAGCACUGCCUGUAGCCAAAGCUCUGCUGUCCAGGCUGAUGUGGCCUUGAUCUCCAUUGCACCAGCCCUGGAAAAUCACAGAAGGACAAACAGCCAAGGCCGUGUCUGGAAAGAAACCUGUGCUUCCAGGUCUAAGGCGACUGUCUUUAACCACUACGUUUUUUACCACGAAAGUUCAGAAGUGCUCCAGUUUCCAUCUAUAUGGUCACCUUUGGUAUGUCUUAUGGUGAUUUUUUUUUUUUUACCUUUACAUAGAGUGAACCUUGUGUGGGAGGAAAAAGAUGCUAAUAGCAUAAUAGCUGAGUCCUUUGGGUUCAGAGCAAGAAAGGUUUACUAUCUAUUUUCAAUGGUUAUUUGUUCCGAAAAAAAUUUUUUUUCUGAUUAUUCAAGUUACAGAUACACUUUGUAGAAAUUUGGGGAAAUUCUGAAACAUCCUAAAAAGGGAGGAGUUUCCAUCGUGGCACAGCGGAAAUGAAUCUGACAAGGAACCAUAAGGUUGCAGGUUCGAUCCCUGGCCUCGCUCAGUGGAUUAAGGAUCUGGCAUUGCUGUGAGCUGUGGUGUAGGCCACAGUUGCAGCUUGGAUCCCGCAUUGCUGUGGCUGUGGUGGAGGCCGGCAGCUGUAGCUCUAAUUUGACCCCUAGCCUGGGAA